rnacentral:lncRNA from 1 species
UUUUUUGCAGAGUUCAUUACCUCUCCUUCUUACAGCACUCAAUCAAUAUUUCUGAACCUUUAUCUCUAGAGAUAAUCACCAUAAGUUUGUAGAGUUUGUAGUCUGGUACCUAUAAGAAGAUGUCCUUUUGAUUUGGUCUCAUCUUUUCUUCACUCCUUUUUACCUAUACCUACUAGCAUUCCUCAACAUAUCAUUCUUCUUCAAGAUAAAGUUUUAAAAAAAUGGGUAUGAGAUACACCAAAGAAAAGAGAUGAUGGCUGACCUUCAGUGAAGGUGGGAAAUAGAUAGUGC